AGACGCGAUCACACCAACUCAUGUGCACUGGAUCCCAUUAGAAUUCAAAAGUUAAACGAGUUUGGACGAGAAUAAUAUUAGAAUAGUUGACCUCCUACUUGUCAGAAAUAAAAAAGGGAUCAAGCGACUUGGUAA
rnacentral:rRNA from 1 species